AGGGGAUUAGUUUAAUUGGUAAAACAUCGGGUUUUGAUCCCGACAUCGUGAGGUUCGAAUCCUCCGCCCCCGGCCA
rnacentral:tRNA from 2 species